rnacentral:ncRNA from 22 species
UAGAAAUAGCGCUAGAAAUAGCGCUAGAAAUAGCGCUAGAAAUAGCGCUAGAAAUAGCGCUAGAAAUAGCGCUAGAAAUAGCGCUAGAAAUAGCGCUAGAAAUGGCGCUAGAAAUAGCGCUAGAAAUGGCGCUA